AUUAUUAUUAUUAUUAUUAUUAACGUGAUUACUAUCACCAACACCGUUCCUCCGAAACUGCUCUUGCUGUUGUUGAAAAGAAGGUACAGGUGAGCUGUUUGUAGGGUUUAAGACGGGGCUUUGAUUUUUAGAGUCAAUUGAAGAAGCAAAGCCAGCGGAGAGAGAGCUAUAAUUCGGGGUGGUAAUGGCAGAGCGAAGACGUUGGUGCGGAGGAACAUAAAUGGCACUGUACGAGGAAAGUGGCCGGUCCUUCAUAGCUAAAAAACGUAAUGGUGGAAGAGGAGGAGGAAGGGGAGUGGGAGAAUGAGGGUUUUGGAAUGUGAAGUGAAAGGAAUUUGGAAAGAAGGCAAAUUAAGGGGAAGAAGAGGGAGUAGAAAUUGGAUUUCUGAUCGCGGUGGUUAAUG
rnacentral:misc_RNA from 1 species